UUUUUUAAUUGAAAACUGGUAUGAAGGGUUAAGACUAAGAAGAUGGUUUUAUUUAAUAUAUUUGAAUUUAAAUUAAAAGUAAAAAUGCUUUUAUGAAUUUUUGGGACGAGAAGACCCUAGAAGCUUGAAAUUGGUGAAUUUUUGAUUGGGGCAAUAUUUGAAGAGAGAGAUUUUUGGAGUAUGAAAGUAAAUUUAGUAAAGUUACUCUAGGGAUAACAGCAUUAUUUAAUUAGCGAGUUCUUAUUAAUAAUUAAGUUUGUGACCUCGAUGUUGAAUUAAUU
rnacentral:rRNA from 1 species